UUUUAUUAUUAGCUCAAUAUAAGAUUGGGGACUACAAGCAAUAGCUUAAAAACCUAAGAAUUUGGGGGUGUUUUAUUCAAUCAGGGGGACCUGUACUUUAAAUCGACAAUCCACGAUAAACUCUAUCUAAUUUUAAUAAAUUAAUAUAUAUUAACUUGUGUACUGCCGUUUUAUAAGCCCUUUAGGAUCUCUUAUAAUCAAUUAAAAAAAAAAUAAAAAGUCAGGUCAUAGUGCAGUUUACGGUUAGAUAGUUCAUGGGUCACAUUUUUAAAAAUAAAUUAGUAUUAUAAAUUAAUUUUUAUGAUAAAUUUAGAACUUGAUAGUAAUUAUAAAAUUAUUUAUAUUAUAAUGAAUAUGAACCUAAAACAAGUACAUAUCGCCCGUCACUCCUUUAUACAGGAUAAGUCGUAACAUAGUAGAUGUAAUGGAAAUUGCAUCUGU
rnacentral:rRNA from 1 species